UGGGCAACCUGCCCCCGGCCCUGGGAUAACCCCGGGAAACCGGAGCUAAUACCGGAUACUCUCCUCCGACCACAUGGUCAGAAGAGGAAAGGUCCGCCGGUCGGGGAUGGGCCCGCGGCCUAUCAGCUUGUUGGUGGGGUAACGGCCUACCAAGGCAUCGACGGGUAGCUGGUCUGAGAGGACGGCCAGCCACACUGGGACUGAGACACGGCCCAGACUCCUACGGGAGGCA
rnacentral:rRNA from 1 species